rnacentral:rRNA from 1 species
CGUGCCCUACGGGAGGCAGCAGUGGGGAAUAUUGCACAAUGGGGGAAACCCUGAUGCAGCGACGCCGCGUGAAGGACGAAGUAUUUCGGUACGUAAACUUCUAUCAGCAGGGAAGAAAAUGACGGUACCUGACCAAGAAGCCCCGGCUAACUACGUGCCAGCAGCCGCGGUAAUACGUAGGGGGCAAGCGUUAUCCGGAUUUACUGGGUGUAAAGGGAGCGUAGACGGCCGUGCAAGGCUGAUGUGAAAACCCGGGGCUCAACCACGGGACUGCAUUGGAAACUGAUU